UGCAGUCGAACGGUGAACACGGAGCUUGCUCUGUGGGAUCAGUGGCGAACGGGUGAGUAACACGUGAGCAACCUGCCCCUGACUCUGGGAUAAGCGCUGGAAACGGCGUCUAAUACUGGAUAUGUGACGUGAUCGCAUGGUCUGCGUCUGGAAAGAAUUUCGGUUGGGGAUGGGCUCGCGGCCUAUCAGCUUGUUGGUGAGGUAAUGGCUCACCAAGGCGUCGACGGGUAGCCGGCCUGAGAGGGUGACCGGCCACACUGGGACUGAGACACGGCCCAGACUCCUACGGGAGGCAGCAGUGGGGAAUAUUGCACAAUGGGCGCAAGCCUGAUGCAGCAACGCCGCGUGAGGGAUGACGGCCUUCGGGUUGUAAACCUCUUUUAGCAGGGAAGAAGCGAAAGUGACGGUACCUGCAGAAAAAGCGCCGGCUAACUACGUGCCAGCAGCCGCGGUAAUACGUAGGGCGCAAGCGUUAUCCGGAAUUAUUGGGCGUAAAGAGCUCGUAGGCGGUUUGUCGCGUCUGCUGUGAAAUCCGGAGGCUCAACCUCCGGCCUGCAGUGGGUACCGGCAGACUAUAGUGCGGGAGGGGAGAU
rnacentral:rRNA from 1 species